rnacentral:rRNA from 1 species
GCACGGGCUUGGGGGGCAACUCUCAAGUUAGUGGCGAACGGGUGCGUAACACGUGAGCAACUUGCCCUACGGUGGGGGAUAGCCGGUCUAACGGCCGGGUAAUACCGCAUAUGGCGCCGAGGUCACAUGACCUUGGUGGGAAAGCGGCCGCAAGGUCGCGCCGGAGGUGGGGCUCGCGGCGUAUCAGCUAGUUGGCGGGGUAACGGCCCACCAAGGCUACGACGCGUAGCUGGUCUGAGAGGAUGGCCAGCCACAUUGGGACUGAGAUACGGCCCAGACUCCUACGGGAGGCAGCAGUGGGGAAUAUUGCGCAAUGGCCGAAAGGCUGACGCAGCGACGCCGCGUGUGGGAUGAAGGCCUUCGGGUUGUAAACCACUGUCGGGGGGGACGAAUACCUGGCUUCGAACAGGAGACCAGNGGUGACGGUACCUCCAAAGGAAGCACCGGCUAACUCCGUG